CACAAAAGCAAGCGCAUCACACAUUCCCACAAACAUUCAUUCGCGAAUCACUGAAUAAAAACUGCAAAAAAUAUUUGGCUUUGUCUUGUCUUCCCAUUGAUUAUACAUUUCACUUGUUGCUGAUGUGAGGGAGUAACGACAAAUGUCAUCGCAACAAUUAAUUAGUGAAAUGAAAAAAGCACAUUGUCUUGUCAGCGCAGACAUCAGUGGCUUCAAAGCAAACCGCGUAGUUAUAGUUUGGAUAUGAAGUACCAAUAGCCGCCAUACCAACAUCAGUGGUGGCAAUUCAAUCAAGUGAUUUGAUUGAUAUGUUUGUAUAAUAUAAAUAAUUUUAAAGCUUGCGCAAUGAUUUGUGGAACAAGGCAAUACCACGUUUAUUAGAGAUGGGUGUUAAUAAAGAAGAGCAACAUUGGAGUCACUCGAAGUUGAAAGAAAGUCAAAUCCGCUUAAUUGACGUCACAAUCGCACAUAAAAUUCCUGCAGUGUAAAAUUUUUUUUUAUGUACCUCUUUCUUGAAUAAUAAUUUAUAUAAUAUAGCAUCAA